UGAAAAUCAGCAAUCAAAAAUUAGAUUUAACAAAAGCUAAUACAUAAUACUAUUCAAUUAGGAAAAUUCUAGAGUCCUGGAGAGAGAAAGUGAGACAGUAUCCACGAAUUCCGAUGGUUCUCGUCGGAUGUAGGAACGGCUUCAUCUCCACCACUCAAAAACAACUUCUUCUCUACCAAUCUUACCAAAUCGGAGUACUGUGAAGAUCACAAAAACACUGAGCUCGAGUGAAAUUUACAUACACACUUAAAAUUCUCACAAACGCCAUUAAUUCAGACUCAAUGAAGACUUCUUAAGCUCAGAAUCGGUUCACCAGAAUGUAGCACCUAGGAUGUGCUCCAAAAAGCUAAUGCCACUACAUAAGAGUUCAGAUCUAGUCGAUAAAUACGUUGAAGCAUUUUCCAUAUUCAUCCCCCAAGUGAAGCAGUCUCUAAAAUCAAUGGAAGAAGAUUGCAAUUAAUACAGUAUUCCAGCCCAAAUCUCAUGGCUUUAGCUUCCAGGUUCUAUUACAGGAAUGACACUGUCACCUAACUUAUUUUGAAGAACUUGACAAGACACUAGCUUAUAUAGCGCAUGCAUUGGGGAUGAAUUGAAAGGAGUUACCAAAGAUCAUAGUUACUCAGAACCCUCUCCUCCAUCCAAUUCUUCAUUCUCUGGUGGGAUCAUUUGCAAUGGUUUAUAGUAUGUAGCUUUGGCUAGUUCCUUCAACAAUAAUAUUUCAUUCUCCCUUUUAUGAUUAACCAAAGAAGCAUUUUUUGUACUUUGUGUAUUUUUGUUGGACAGUGUAGUUUCAUUCAUCUCUUUUUGGUUAUCCAUAUUGACCAUAUGCUGCUCCUUCAUAAAUAUUUUUUGAUGGCCAUUUAUUAAUACUUUCUUUGAAUCA